UGCAUUGUCUUCAUACUGGAGAUUGACCAAUGGACAGAAUUGGAGGACCGGAAGGACUCUGGUCCUCCAGCCAAUCAGAGCGUGAGGUUUGUGUGAACGAAGAUUGAGCUUCAUACAGACUGAAACUUCCUCUUGUGUCCAACAUCUGCUAUUAGAAGGGGAGGAUUUUCAGACAGAAUUCUCAGACCAAAUAUCAUGUCAAGAUCUGACAAAACCAUUUGAUUCAUUGGGACCAGAAUAUCAUCUAGCAUUUGAAAUCUUUGUCUGUUCUGCCUACUUCAAAAGAUUUUAAACAUCAGUGUGACUGGAAAAACACUGAGACGCACAGAGAUGAGUGAGUGUGUUCCAGUGCACUGACUGUGGAAAAAGCUUUAACGAGUUACACAGACUGAAAAAUCAUUGCACCAUUCACAACGGGGAGAGACUGUACAUGUGUUCUGUGUGUGGUCGAGGCUUCAACUAAUUGUCCCACCUGGAGAGACACAAGGACACCCACAGCAUGGAGAAACUGUAGAAAUGUGGGAACUGUGGGAAAGGAUUCGAUUUCCCAUCUGAGCUGGAAACCCAUCUACAUAGUCACACCGGGGCGAGGCCGUUCACCUGCUCUGAGUAUGGGAAGGGUUCUGUCGAAGGGUCAUGAGGACUCGAAACGUCAACUCUUUUCUUCUCCGUCGAUGCUGCCAGACCUGCUGAGUUUUUCCAGGUAAUUCUGUUUUUGUUAAGGGUUUCACUUGGUCAUCCCAUCUGCAGACGCACAAGCAAGUUCACACCGGGGUGAGGACGUUCACCUGCUCUAAGUGUGGGAAGGCUUUCAGUAAUUCAUCCAACCUGCUAACACACCAGCGAGUUCACACCAGGGAAAGACUGUUCGUAUGCACCCAGUGUGGGAAGGGAUUCAGUAAUUCAGCCAACCUGCUGACACACCAGCAAGUUCACAGUGGGGAGAGACCGUUCACCUGCUCCGAAUGUGGGAAGGAACUCAUUCAUUUAUACUGCCUGCGGAGAUACCAGCGAGUUCAAAAAUGAUUCCAGGGGUUGAAUUCUGCAGUUAUGGCUGCUGUUAAUCACAUCCAGGACUGAACCAUGUUCAUUCUGACACUUGGUGAAGUGGGAGGGUCGGAGGGUUUCUUUCUGCUGGACUGGCCAAUCUCACAACUUUGCUUCCAGUGGGCUGAUGCUCUGAAGCCUGGGAGUGCACAUUUUCACUGAAAUGAUCCACAAAAGCUAAUAAAGUACAUUUAUUUUA